rnacentral:rRNA from 1 species
CGGAGGGUCCAAGCGUUAUCCGGAAUCAUUGGGUUUAAAGGGUCCGUAGGCGGUUUUGUAAGUCAGUGGUGAAAGCCCAUCGCUCAACGGUGGAACGGCCAUUGAUACUGCAAGACUUGAAUUAUUAGGAAGUAACUAGAAUAUGUAGUGUAGCGGUGAAAUGCUUAGAGAUUACAUGGAAUACCAAUUGCGAAGGCAGGUUACUACUAAUAUAUUGACGCUGAUGGACGAAAGCGUGGGGAGCGAACAGGAUUAGAUACCCUGGUAGUCCACGCCGUAAACGAUGGAUACUAGCUGUUCGGAGCAAUCUGAGUGGCUAAGCGAAAGUGAUAAGUAUCCCACCUGGGGAGUACGUUCGCAAGAAUG